rnacentral:rRNA from 1 species
GAUGAACGCUAGCUACAGGCUUAACACAUGCAAGUCGAGGGGAAACGACAUCGAAAGCUUGCUUUUGAUGGGCGUCGACCGGCGCACGGGUGUGUAACGCGUAUCCAACCUGCCCAUCACUUGGGAAUAACCUUGCGAAAGUAAGACUAAUACCCAAUGAUAUCCCACGAAGGCAUCGGAAUGGGAUUAAAGAUUUAUCGGUGAUGGAUGGGGAUGCGUCUGAUUAGCUUGUUGGCGGGGUAACGGCCCACCAAGGCAACGAUCAGUAGGGGUUCUGAGAGGAAGGUCCCCCACAUUGGAACUGAGACACGGUCCAAACUCCUACGGGAGGCAGCAGUGAGGAAUAUUGGUCAAUGGGCGAGAGCCUGAACCAGCCAAGUAGCGUGCAGGAAGACGGCCCUAUGGGUUGUAAACUGCUUUUAUAAGGGAAUAAAGUGGGUCACGUGUGACUUUUUGCAUGUACCUUAUGAAUAAGGACCGGCUAAUUCCGUG